rnacentral:rRNA from 1 species
CACGUAGGGCGCAAGCGUUGUCCGGAAUUAUUGGGCGUAAAGAGCUCGUAGGCGGUCUGUUACGUCUGCUGUGAAAAUCCGGGGCUUAACCCUGGGCUUGCAGUGGAUACGGGUAGACUAGAGGCAGGUAGGGGAGAAUGGAAUUCCCGGUGUAGCGGUGAAAUGCGCAGAUAUCGGGAGGAACACCGGUGGCGAAGGCGGUUCUCUGGGCCGAAACUGACGCUGAGGAGCGAAAGCGUGGGGAGCGAACAGG